CAGGGUGGCCACCCAGUAAUCAGCACAAGUUUGAAUGUGGGCAACUCGGCAGUCGUUGCGCAGGCACUUUGAUGACUGUAGAUAACCUCGGGCCGAUCGCAAGUCCCCUCGAUGUUACUUUCUGCGCCUACCAUGGUGACCACGGGUAACGGGGAAUCAAGGUUCGAUUCUGGAGAAGGAGCCUGAGAAACGGCUACCACAUCCAAGGAAGGCAGCAGGCGCGCAAAUUACCCACUCCCAACGCGGGGAGGUAGUGA